UAGCUCAGUUGGUAGAGCGUGGUGUUUACAACGCCAGGGUUGUGGGUUCGUUUCCAC
rnacentral:tRNA from 1 species